GGAUGUGAGGGCGAUCUGGCUGCGACAUCUGUCACCCCGUUGAUCGGCAGGAUUGAUUUGGCUGAUCUGGCUGGCUAGGUGGGUGUCCCCUUCCUCCCUCACUGCUCCAUGCGCGUCCCUCCCGAAGCUGCGCACCCCGAUAGAGGAGGACCUAGAGGAGGACCGUUCUUUGGUCAAGGGUAUACGAGUAGCUGCGCUCCCCUGCUAGAACCUCCAAACAAGCUCUCAAGGUCCAUUUGUAGGAAAACGUAGGGUAGUCAAGCUUCCAAGAUUCCAGACACAUCCAAAUGAGGUGCUGCACGUGGCAGUCUGCCUUU
rnacentral:snRNA from 1 species